rnacentral:rRNA from 1 species
CAGCCGCCGCGGGAAUACGAAGGGUGCAAGCGUUAAUCGGAAUUACUGGGCGUAAAGCGUGCGUAGGCGGUUUGUUAAGUCUGUUGUGAAAUCCCCGGGCUCAACCUGGGAAUGGCAAUGGAUACUGGCAAGCUAGAGUGUGUCAGAGGAUGGUGGAAUUCCCGGUGUAGCGGUGAAAUGCGUAGAGAUCGGGAGGAACAUCAGUGGCGAAGGCGGCCAUCUGGGACAACACUGACGCUGAGGCACGAAAGCGUGGGGAGCAAACAGGAUUAGAUACCCCGGUAGUCCCUGUCUCUUAUAC